rnacentral:rRNA from 1 species
CACUGAAUUUCCUAGGGGGCGUCAAAGCCUACCGAAGAAUAUCAAACUCCGAAUGCCGCGUAAUCGAUUAUCGGGAGUCAGACUGCACGAGAUAAGUUGGGCGGUCAAAAGGGAAAGAGCCCAGACCUUCAGUUAAGGUCCCCAAGUGCGCGUUAAGUGGAAAAGGAUGUGGGAUUUCGAAGACAACCAGGAUGUUGGCUCAGAAGCAGCCAUUCAUUCAAAGAGUGCGUAAUAGCUCACUGGUCGAGUGGUCAUGCGCCGAAGAUGUACCGGGGCUCAAACGCGCCACCGAAGCAUGGGAUUCGCGCAAGCGAGUGGUAGAGGAGCAUUGAAUCAGGGCAGAAGCUGGAGCGGGAGCACCAGUGGACUUGAUUCAAGAGAGAAUGCCGGUAUGAGUAGCGAGAGGCAAGCGAGAAACUUGCCCGUCGAAAGCCUAAGGUUUCCUGGGGAAGGUUCAUCCGCCCAGGGUAAGUCGGGACCUAAGCCGAGGACGGAAGUCGUAGGCGAUGGACAGCAGGUUGAGAUUCCUGCACCGCCUUGAGAAUGAUGCAAUGACACAGAAGGAUAGCAUGAGCCGGGUGAUGGUCAACUCGGUUUCCAAAGCGAGGGCGUCUGGUAGUGAAGUACGCCAGACACACAGCCUGAGCCAAAGAGGGAGCGAAAUUCAAGUAGCGAAGCAUGCGAUUUCACGCUGGCGAGAAAAGUUGCUGGUAUAUCGAAGAGGCGCCCGUACCGCAAACCGACGCAGGUAGGCGAGGUGAGAAUCCUAAGACGAACGGGAGAACCCUUGUUAAGGAACUCGGCAAAAUGACCCCGUAACUUCGGGAGAAGGGGUGCCGAUGGAAACAUCGGUCGCAGAGAAAAGGCUCAAGCGACUGUUUAGCAAAAACACAGGUAUCUGCGAAAGCGAGAGCUGACGUAUAGGUGCUGACACCUGCCCGGUGCUGGAAGGUUAAGGGGAAAUGUCAUCGCAAGAGAAGCAUAGAACCGAAGCCCCAGUAAACGGCGGCCGUAACUAUAACGGUCCUAAGGUAGCGAAAUUCCUUGUCGGGUAAGUUCCGACCCGCACGAAUGGUGUAACGAUUUGAGCGCUGUCUCAACAGGGGGCCCGGUGAAAUUGAAGUAUGGGUGAAGAUGCCCAUUACCCGCGACUGGACGGAAAGACCCCGUAGAGCUUGACUGUAGCCUGAUAUUGGAUUUCGGUAACGGAUGCACAGGAUAGGUGGGAGGCUUGGAAGCCAGGACUCCGGUCUUGGUGGAGCCACCGUUGGGAUACCACUCUUCUGUUGCUGGAAUUCUAACAUGGCGCCGUGAAACCGGUGAAUGGACAGUGUCAGGUGGGCAGUUUGACUGGGGCGGUCGCCUCCGAAAGAGUAACGGAGGCGCCCAAAGGUACCCUCAGAAUGGAUGGAAACCAUUCAAAGAGUGUAAAGGCAGAAGGGUGCUUGACUGUGAGAGUGACAACUCGAUCAGAUACGAAAGUAGGGCUUAGUGAUCCGGCGGUAUUGAGUGGAAAAGCCGUCGCUUAACGGAUAAAAGCUACCUCGGGGAUAACAGGCUGAUCUCCCCCAAGAGUCCACAUCGACGGGGAGGUUUGGCAC